rnacentral:rRNA from 1 species
GUCUCAAAGAUUAAGCCAUGCAUGUCUAAGUAUAAGCAAUUUAUACAGUGAAACUGCGAAUGGCUCAUUAAAUCAGUUAUCGUUUAUUUGAUAGUACCUUACUACUUGGAUAACCGUGGUAAUUCUAGAGCUAAUACAUGCUUAAAAUCCCGACUGUUUGGAAGGGAUGUAUUUAUUAGAUAAAAAAUCAAUGUCUUCGGACUCUUUGAUGAUUCAUAAUAACUUUUCGAAUCGCAUGGCCUUGUGCUGGCGAUGGUUCAUUCAAAUUUCUGCCCUAUCAACUUUCGAUGGUAGGAUAGUGGCCUACCAUGGUUUCAACGGGUAACGGGGAAUAAGGGUUCGAUUCCGGAGGGGGAGCCUGAGAAACGGCUACCACAUCCAAGGAAGGCAGCAGGCGCGCAAAUUACCCAAUCCCGACACGGGGAGGUAGUGACAAUAAAUAACGAUACAGGGCCCUUUCGGGUCUUGUAAUUGGAAUGAGUACAAUGUAAAUACCUUAGCCAAGACCAGUUUGAGGGCAAGUCUG